UGCGUAGGCGGACUAAUAAGUCAGUGGUAAAAUCUUUCGGCUCAACCGAGAAACUGCCAUUGAUACUGUUAGUCUUGAGUUCGGUUGAGGUAGGCGGAAUGUGUAAUGUAGCGGUGAAAUGCUUAGAUAUUACACAGAACACCAAUUGCGUAGGCAGCUUACUAGACCGACACUGACGCUGAGGCACGAAAGCGUGGGUAGCGAACAGGAUUAGAUACCCUGGUAGUC
rnacentral:rRNA from 1 species